AGAGUUUGAUCCUGGCUCAGGAUGAACGCUGCGGCGUGCCUAACACAUGCAAGUCGAACGGGGUUAUUUAGGAAAUUCCUUCGGGGAAUGGAAUCUUUAACCUAGUGGCGGACGGGUGAGUAACGCGUGAGCAAUCUGCCUUCGGAUGGGGGAUAACAGCCGGAAACGGCUGCUAAUACCGCAUAACACAUGGGAUCCGCAUGUUCCCAUGUCAAAGAUUUAUCGUCCGGAGAUGAGCUCGCGUCUGAUUAGCUGGUUGGCGGGGUAACGUCCCACCAAGGCGACGAUCAGUAGCCGGACUGAGAGGUUGAACGGCCACAUUGGGACUGAUACACGGCCCAGACUCCUACGGGAGGCAGCAGUGGGGAAUAUUGCGCAAUGGGGGCAACCCUGACGCAGCAACGCCGCGUGAUUGAAGAAGGCCUUCGGGUUGUAAAGAUCUUUAAUCGGGGACGAAUUUUGACGGUACCCGAAGAAUAAGCUCCGGCUAACUACGUG
rnacentral:rRNA from 1 species